UACGUAGGGGGCAAGCGUUGUCCGGAUUUAUUGGGCGUAAAGAGCGUGUAGGCGGCUUGACAGGUCUGCUGUGAAAACUCGAGGCUCAACCUCGAGAUGUCGGCGGAAACCGUCUGGCUAGAGUCCGGAAGAGGAGAGUGGAAUUCCUGGUGUAGCGGUGAAAUGCGCAGAUAUCAGGAAGAACACCCGUGGCGAAGGCGGCUCUCUGGAACGCAACUGACGCUGAGACGCGAAAGCGUGGGGAGCAAACAGG
rnacentral:rRNA from 1 species